rnacentral:tRNA from 1 species
GCCUUCAUAGUGUAGUGGUCAGCAAGCUCGGCAUGUAUUUCGAGAGGUCCGUGGUUUGAAUCCCAGCGAAGGCA